rnacentral:rRNA from 1 species
AUUGAACGCUGGCGGCAGGCCUAACACAUGCAAGUCGAGCGAGCGGCGGACGGGUGAGUAAUGUAUGGGGACUGCCCGAUAGAGGGGGAUAACUACUGGAAACGGUAGCUAAUACCGCAUACUAUCGGAUAACCCAUAUGGGAUUAGCUAGUAGGUGAGGUAAUGGCUCACCUAGGCGACGAUCCCUAGCUGGUCUGAGAGGAUGAUCAGCCACAUGGGGAUGGAGACACGGCCCAGACUCCGACGGAGGCAGCAGUGGGGAAUAUGGCCCAAGGGGCGCAAGCCGGAGGCAGCCAUGCCGCGUGUAGGAAGAAGGCCCUAGGGUUGUAAAGUACUUUCAGUCGGGAGGCGUUACCGACAGAAGAAGCACCGGCUAACUCCGUGCCAGCAGCCGCGUAAUUC